rnacentral:sRNA from 1 species
GGCGCGCGCGCAAGUCCGCGCACGACG